rnacentral:lncRNA from 1 species
UGUAUCUAGCCCAAAAGGCCACUCUAGUCAUUCUCCUGAGCCAAGGCUCACUAGAAUGGCCCUCUUCACUAUUACCAAGGUAAAGUAAAGGGCCAAACCCGCAUUCAAUUCAUUAAUCAUCAAAUUUUCAUGCAUCAUGCACAAUACUUCAUGGUUUAAAUAGUGGUCAAACACCAAAGAGAUAUAUGCAACAAUCAUCAUGUUCAACCAUACCGUAUACAUAAACAAACAUCAAUUCUAGUAAAAAUUCAUGCAUCGUAGUCAUAACUCUUGUGUAUUGUACUUUAUUCAACUAUA